rnacentral:miRNA from 1 species
UGGUGCAGCUACAGGAGCAAAUGUUAGUUGUCACAACAGAGACUCAAAUGAGAAUUUCGAAGGCCCAAGUGGAGAAGGGGUCCAUGUG